CGUAGGGUGCGAGCGUUAAUCGGAAUUACUGGGCGUAAAGCGUGCGCAGGCGGUUUUGUAAGACAGGCGUGAAAUCCCCGGGCUCAACCUGGGAACUGCGCUUGUGACUGCAAGGCUAGAGUACGGCAGAGGGGGGUGGAAUUCCACGUGUAGCAGUGAAAUGCGUAGAGAUGUGGAGGAACACCAAUGGCGAAGGCAGCCCCCUGGGUCGAUACUGACGCUCAUGCACGAAAGCGUGGGUAGCAAACAGGAUUAGAUACCCUGGUAGUCCACGCCCUAAACGAUGUCAACUAGGUGUUGGGUGGGUAAAACCAUUUAGUACCGGAGCUAACGCGUAGAAGUUGACCGCCGUGGGGAGUACGGCCGCGAAAGGUUA
rnacentral:rRNA from 1 species